UCGAGCAAGCUUUAAGGUUCGGCCAGGUUC
rnacentral:piRNA from 1 species